UACAGAGGUCCCAAGCGUUGUUCGGAUUCAUUGGGCGUAAAGGGUGCGUAGGUGGCGGGGUAAGUCAGGUGUGAAAUCUCGGGGCUCAACCCCGAAACUGCACUUGAUACUGCCUUGCUUGAGUACUGGAGAGGAGAUUGGAAUUUACGGUGUAGCAGUGAAAUGCGUAGAUAUCGUAAGGAAGACCAGUGGCGAAGGCGAAUCUCUGGACCGGUCCUGACGCUCAGGCGCGAAAGCCAGGGGAGCAAACGGG
rnacentral:rRNA from 1 species